AGACUUCCAUGGUAUAUCCACAAUAAAGGGCUUGUUCACAAAAGGAACUCUGUGUGAGCACAUAAUCAAAGAACGAGAACUUUCUGCAAAUAGAUCUAAGGACUGUGAUACAAGAAAGCCACGUCCCAGCUUGGACUGGCUUAGGGCAAGAACAAAGAAGGACACCCAGAGAGGGGCAGCAGAGCUGACUGAUGUUUGAAGGACAGUCCAGAGUGAAGAGAAUAGAACAGAGCUUAUUAUCUGACAUUGGACAAGCGUUAAUCACUUUCUAGGCAGUUCCAAUCUUGGGCAUAGAGAGUGCAAAGCCACAAAAUGUAAACCAACUCAUAACAACCUUCUUGCUCCUUGUUGGCACACAGUGAGGGCCAGUCCACCAGUCCCACCUCUUCCGAUUCUCAGGUUGAGACCCGGUUGAUGUUUGGCAGCUGUACCAGAUGUUUCUUGGUUUCAUACAAAAGGUUCAAGACGUAGCGAGCAUGGAGCUGCUACUGGGAGGAAGAGGAGGGAAGGAAGAAAACAACACUGAUAUUCGUGAGGGAAAAUGGUCCUUACCUUUACUGCUUAACAACCCCCAUCACCUAAGACCCCAAAAGUAACCCCAGUAAACUGCUCCUGGGACUA